CACUCCGAAGCACCUCUUUCACAUCCUACAGGUCACCAUCGAAAAGCCAUUGAUUUGUAGUUGAGCGUUAAAUUGUAUUGGAACUGAGCGGGUAUAAAGUAUCACAGAAAGUAGAUUGAAUGUUCUUUUGUUAUCAAAGAUUUCUGAUGUAGUUACAGUUUACCAGCUUAAAAAAAUCAUGUCGAAAUGCCAUUUAUGUAUAAUUAAAGCAGCGAUCACUUGGACUAUUCCGUAGCACCCCUCUCACAGUGGUACAUCCCUCCAGGUAACCAUUCAUAAGUCUUGUACAGUAGAGCGGGAAAUUACAUUUCAGCUCAGCGGAUUCGACCGGUGAAGGCGUAGCAUGCACCACGAUUAGUAUAAGAUCAGAUUUGUUAACUACCAUCCAUCCAUAAACAAAUAUACACUGAAAAUGGCAUCACGCUGGUCAAGGAGGCGCAAAUUAAGGUCAAUGGUUGAGGCCGCACAGUCAGAUAUACUCCGGCACUUUGAAGAGAUGGUUGGCGAACUAAAUACCCAAAGCGACAAUGCACAGGUUGAAGUUAAGCGACCGCGGGUGGCAGAAGAGUCUGGUGUGUCCCACUGUUGUCACCCAGGCAUAGACAG